rnacentral:rRNA from 1 species
UACGGGAGGGGGCAAGCGUUUGUUCGGAAUUACUGGGCGUAAAGGGCUCGUAGGCGGCCAACUAAGUCGGAUGUGAAAUCCCCAGGCUCAACCUGGGAACUGCAUCCGAUACUGGAUGGCUUGAAUCCGGGAGAGGGAUGCGGAAUUCCAGGUGUAGCGGUGAAAUGCGUAGAUAUCGAGAGGAACACCUGCGGCGAGGCGGGUUGCUGGGCUGAUACUGACGCUGAGGCGCGAAAGCUAGGGGAGCGAACGGG